rnacentral:rRNA from 1 species
UAGGGAAUCUUCGGCAAUGGACGAAAGUCUGACCGAGCAACGCCGCGUGAGUGAAGAAGGUUUUCGGAUCGUAAAACUCUGUUGUUAGAGAAGAACAAGGACGUUAGUAACUGAACGUCCCCUGACGGUAUCUAACCAGAAAGCCACGGCUAACUACGUGCCAGCAGCCGCGGUAAUACGUAGGUGGCAAGCGUUGUCCGGAUUUAUUGGGCGUAAAGCGAGCGCAGGCGGUUUCUUAAGUCUGAUGUGAAAGCCCCCGGCUCAACCGGGGAGGGUCAUUGGAAACUGGGAGACUUGAGUGCAGAAGAGGAGAGUGGAAUUCCAUGUGUAGCGGUGAAAUGCGUAGAUAUAGGGAGGAACACCAGUGGCGAAGGCGGCUCUCUGGUCUGUAACUGACGCUGAGGCGCGAAAGCGUGGGGAGCAAACAGG